GUGGGGAAUUUUGGACAAUGGGCGAAAGCCUGAUCCAGCCAUGCCGCGUGUGUGAAGAAGGUCUUCGGAUUGUAAAGCACUUUAAGUUGGGAGGAAGGGCAGUAAGUUAAUACCUUGCUGUUUUGACGUUACCGACAGAAUAAGCACCGGCUAACUUCGUGCCAGCAGCCGCGGUAAUACGAAGGGUGCAAGCGUUAAUCGGAAUUACUGGGCGUAAAGCGCGCGUAGGUGGUUUUGUAAGUUGGAGGUGAAAUCCCCGGGCUCAACCUGGGAACUGCCUCCAAAACUGCAUGACUAGAGUACGGUAGAGGGUAGUGGAAUUUCCUGUGUAGCGGUGAAAUGCGUAGAUAUAGGAAGGAACACCAGUGGCGAAGGCGACUACCUGGACUGAUACUGACACUGAGGUGCGAAAGCGUGGGGAGCAAACAGGAUUAGAUACCCUUGUAGUCC
rnacentral:rRNA from 1 species